rnacentral:rRNA from 1 species
CGUUCCGGGUCUUGUACACACCGCCCGUCACACCACGAAAGUCGGCAACACCCGAAGCCGGUGGCCUAACCCGCAAGGGAGGGAGCCGUCGAAGGUGGGGCUGGCGAUUGGGGUG